GCGAUUCGCCCUUCGGGGCGCCCGCCGCGUCGAAUUCUCUACCAUGCAUGCAACUGCGAUAGGGGAACAUCGAGUGAUACUCAUCUUGGGUGUCUGUCCUCCCGUCUAAAAAACGGGAGUUAGCAAGGGCCGGGCAAGACCGGUGCCAGCCGCCGCGGUAAUACCGGCGGCUCGAGUGGUGGCCGAUAUUAUUGAGUCUAAAGGGUCCGUAGCCGGCUUUGCAAGUCUUUUGGGAAAUCCAGCGGCUUAACCGUUGGUCGUCCGGGAGAUACUACAUUGCUUGGGACUGGGAGAGGUAGGAGGUACUCAGGGGGUAGGAGUGAAAUCCUGUAAUCCUUUGGGGACCACCGGUGGCAAAGGCGUCCUACCAGAACAGGUCCGACGGUGAGGGACGAAAGCUAGGGGCACGAACCGGAUUAGAUACCCGGGUAGUCCUAGCCGUAAACGAUGCUCGCUAGGUGUCACAACAAUCGUGAAUUGUUGUGGUGCCGUAGGGAAGCCGUGAAGCGAGCCACUUGGGAAGUACGACCGCAAGGUUGAAACUUAAAGGAAUUGGCGGGGGAGCAC
rnacentral:rRNA from 1 species